rnacentral:rRNA from 1 species
ACGCUCGACACCUACGGGAGGCGGCAGUGGGGAAUAUUGCACAAUGGGGGAAACCCUGAUGCAGCGACGCCGCGUGAGUGAAGAAGUAUUUCGGUAUGUAAAGCUCUAUCAGCAGGGAAGAAGAUGACGGUACCUGAGUAAGAAGCCCCGGCUAACUACGUGCCAGCAGCCGNGGUAAUCUGAGCGGGCUGGCAAGGC